rnacentral:misc_RNA from 1 species
AACGCACAUUGCGCCCUUUGGUACUCCAUGGGGCAUGCCUGUUCGAGCGUCGUUAUGCACCUCAAGCUGAGCUUGGUGAUGGGCCCUAUGACUUGGUUCAUGGCCUGAAAUGCGGUGCCCUGGUACGGGUGCUGAUGCCAUCCCCUGGCUUUCUCCGGCGCAGCAGUACGCGUUUGGGAAGGGCGUGGGCGCGGCUUGUUAUACCUUCUUAGACCUCGGAUCAGGUAGGGAUACCCGCUGAACUUAA